CCUACGGGAGGCAGCAGUGGGGAAUUUUGGACAAUGGGCGCAAGCCUGAUCCAGCCAUUCCGCGUGAGUGAAGAAGGCCUUCGGGUUGUAAAGCUCUUUCAGGAGGGAAGAAACGAUUGUGGCUAAUACCCAUGAUUAAUGACGGUACCUUCAGAAGAAGCACCGGCUAACUACGUGCCAGCAGCCGCGGUAAU
rnacentral:rRNA from 1 species